GAACGCUAGCUGCAGGCUUAACACAUGCAAGUCGAGGGGCAGCAUGGUCUUAGCUUGCUAAGGCCGAUGGCGACCGGCGCACGGGUGAGUAACACGUAUCCAACCUGCCGUCUACUCUUGGACAGCCUUCUGAAAGGAAGAUUAAUACAAGAUGGCAUCAUGAGUCCACAUGUUCACAUGAUUAAAGGUAUUCCGGUAGACGAUGGGGAUGCGUUCCAUUAGAUAGUAGGCGGGGUAACGGCCCACCUAGUCUUCGAUGGAUAGGGGUUCUGAGAGGAAGGUCCCCCACAUUGGAACUGAGACACGGUCCAAACUCCUACGGGAGGCAGCAGUGAGGAAUAUUGGUCAAUGGGCGAGAGCCUGAACCAGCCAAGUAGCGUGAAGGAUGACUGCCCUAUGGGUUGUAAACUUCUUUUAUAAAGGAAUAAAGUCGGGUAUGGAUACCCGUUUGCAUGUACUUUAUGAAUAAGGAUCGGCUAACUCCGUGCCAGCAGCCGCGGUAAUACGGAGGAUCCGAGCGUUAUCCGGAUUUAUUGGGUUUAAAGGGAGCGUAGAUGGAUGUUUAAGUCAGUUGUGAAAGUUUGCGGCUCAACCGUAAAAUUGCAGUUGAUACUGGAUAUCUUGAGUGCAGUUGAGGCAGGCGGAAUUCGUGGUGUAGCGGUGAAAUGCUUAGAUAUCACGAAGAACUCCGAUUGCGAAGGCAGCCUGCUAAGCUGCAACUGACAUUGAGGCUCGAAAGUGUGGGUAUCAAACAGGAUUAGAUACCCUGGUAGUCCACACGGUAAACGAUGAAUACUCGCUGUUUGCGAUAUACAGCAAGCGGCCAAGCGAAAGCGUUAAGUAUUCCACCUGGGGAGUACGCCGGCAACGGUGAAACUCAAAGGAAUUGACGGGGGCCCGCACAAGCGGAGGAACAUGUGGUUUAAUUCGAUGAUACGCGAGGAACCUUACCCGGGCUUAAAUUGCAGAUGAAUUACGGUGAAAGCCGUAAGCCGCAAGGCAUCUGUGAAGGUGCUGCAUGGUUGUCGUCAGCUCGUGCCGUGAGGUGUCGGCUUAAGUGCCAUAACGAGCGCAACCCUUGUUGUCAGUUACUAACAGGUUCCGCUGAGGACUCUGACAAGACUGCCAUCGUAAGAUGUGAGGAAGGUGGGGAUGACGUCAAAUCAGCACGGCCCUUACGUCCGGGGCUACACACGUGUUACAAUGGGGGGUACAGAGGGCCGCUACCACGCGAGUGGAUGCCAAUCCCCAAAACCUCUCUCAGUUCGGACUGGAGUCUGCAACCCGACUCCACGAAGCUGGAUUCGCUAGUAAUCGCGCAUCAGCCACGGCGCGGUGAAUACGUUCCCGGGCCUUGUACACACCGCCCGUCAAGCCAUGGGAGUCGGGGGUACCUGAAGUGCGUAACCGCGAGGAGCGCCCUAGGGUAAAACUGGUGACUGGGGCU
rnacentral:rRNA from 1 species